rnacentral:rRNA from 1 species
GACGAACGCUGGCGGCGUGCUUAACACAUGCAAGUCGAACGGUAAGGCCCUUCGGGGUACACGAGUGGCGAACGGGUGAGUAACACGUGGGUGAGUUGCCCUGCACUUCGGGAUAAGCCUGGGAAACUGGGUCUAAUACCGGAUAGGACUCCGGACUGCAUGGUCUGGGGUGGAAAGCUUUUGCGGUGUGGGAUGGGCCCGCGGCCUAUCAGCUUGUUGGUGGGGUGAUGGCCUACCAAGGCGACGACGGGUAGCCGGCCUGAGAGGGUGACCGGCCACACUGGGACUGAGAUACGGCCCAGACUCCUACGGGAGGCAGCAGUGGGGAAUAUUGCACAAUGGGCGCAAGCCUGAUGCAGCGACGCCGCGUGAGGGAUGACGGCCUUCGGGUUGUAAACCUCUUUCAGCAUCGACGAAGCGAAAGUGACGGUAGGUGCAGAAGAAGGACCGGCCAACUACGUGCCAGCCGCCGCGGUAC